rnacentral:lncRNA from 1 species
GUUCUUGGUGCCCGCCCCCCUUGUGAGGUCACAGGCCAAUCUAACCGAUUGGCUUCCCACCUGUCCGUUGGGCUCCGGCUGGAGUGAGCACAUGGCCACAUCCAAGCUGUAAAUCCGGGGGAUAAUCCGGGCUGGGUGUGGUGCGUGGUGCGCGUGAAAUUUCCAGCACAGCAUCAGCUGCCUUCGAUGCCGCCUGGCAGGGCCAUCCCGGGGGUGGGCUGGGCAGAGAGACCCCCGGGAGGGUUCGGAGGGACCCUGACCCCAAGGCAGGGGCAGAGACCACCGGGGUGGGGAUACUGUGGGGUGCUUGGUCAGCUGGCUGUGGGCCGCCCUGGCUCAGAGGGGAAUUUCAGGGGGAGGGAGGCUGAAAGAGCAACCACGGGGCUGGAGGGUCUGCUCCUCAUACUCAGUGACCCCCUACAACCGCCCCCCGAAUCCGAGUGAGGAACAGCUGCCCCAGAGGCAGGGAGGGGUCGACUCAGCCCCUGCCUCACAUCCCUCCUCCAGCGGCCCACGAGAAACCGAGCCACUGCGGCUCCUGGACUGCUGGCCCCGGUCUGUCCCAAACCACCUCUACAUCCUGCAGCUUCAUACACACGAGCCUGCGGACUCCGCCCCCACUCCUACAUCCAGUCGGCCCCACCGCCCACCCUGGGCCAGAAGAGCCUGUCUUACCUGCAUAUUUUCCUUCUUCCCUCCUGCAGGUACCAAGCAAGCUUUGGAGAGCAUGACAGAUCCACACCAGAGAGCGGCCGCCCUUCCUUCCGCGCUCCCUCCGGGCAGGAGGCCGCUCUGGAUGAGCCGCUCCUUGGGAGAAAUGUCCUGGCAGCUGAGGGUGGACAACAGGCCCAGGAAGCACUCCGGGGCCUUGCCCACGUCGAUCCCACCCUCGCGGGCCAAGCCCACUCCGGUCCCACCCCCCCCAGGCCCCACCCCCAAACCCCCCAUCCCCUCCCUCGCCCCCCCCGUCGCCCCCACCCCCACCCUCACCCCCCUCACCCUCAGAGACCCCACCCACGCCGCCACAUGCCCAGCCGGAGCCCUCCGGCUCGGGCCUAGUUCCGGCCCAGGCGGCCUCUCUCCGAGACCAGGCCCCGCCUCUGCCCCCAAAGUUCAGUUUUGUGAGGUUCUUCAAGUGGAAAUGGAAGGCCCCCAAGGAGGCUACUGAGAGACCCCCAGAGGUCCCCUCCCAACAGCCGGGGACCCCACCGGAGGGGUCUCCCCCGGGUUCCCCCGUCCCGGAGCCGGAGGGCAAGGGGUCGCCCGUGCGCGCCUGCCCCUCGGACCCCUCGGACCCCGGCAGCCCGGAGCCCCAGCCCCCCAGGCCCAAGCCCAGAGGGUGGCCGGUCCCGACCUUGCUCAGACGCUUCCUGAAGAAGCGUCGCUCCGGCCCCAGGCCCGGUCACGCGGAGCCCCCCGGUUCCCCCGCGGCAGCCCUGGCCCCACCGGUCUCCCCCGAGCAAGACGACAGACCCCCUGCCCUCCCCCCGGAGAGACCUCCGCCCCCCAAGGCCGCCUCCAGCCCCUGGAUCAUCGAGAAGACGCUGGCGAACCAACUGCGGGUCGUGCGAGUGGAGUGGCCCCCCCAGGACCCCGAGGUGCCACCGCAGGAGCCGGCCCCGCCCCCCGCCGAGGGCACCCGCACCAUCCCGUUGGUGAGCUUCGCCGGGCGGCCGUGGGGCCAGAGGGGGGAGGGUUGGGGGCUGGGGGGCCGGGCCGCCUUC